UUCUUGUUCUUUAUUUUAAGCCCAACCUAACAAGAAAGCCCACUACAAGAAACCCUAAUGGCUAGGUUUUCUUUUUGAUCUUCAUCUUAAAUAGUCAUCUCUUUAAAAAGGGCAAGAAGGUGAAGAGUUAGUAGGAACGAAAAGGGGUGUGAGACUCUCCAAAUUUUUGAAUUCGUGGGAGGAACGAAGAACGUGCUUGUGUGGAUGCUGUAGAGGUGCGGACAUUCUGAUCGCGCUUAGAUUGGUCGGACUAGCAGUCUUGUAAGGGUUGUUCAUGCAUCAAUGGAAACAAUCCUAUUCGCUAGAGUAGUUUUGCAUUCGCAUGGAUCUCUAGAGGGAUCCAUUUCUGCUGCGUUUUAAUUUAUUUUUCACUAUAGAUCCCACAAUGGUAUUAAAGCCACUUGCGAAUGCGUUCUCCGCCUUGUUUUAUAUUUUAUAUAAACGAAUGAACAUGUGCUUAUUAUGAUUUGCUUGGAAUGAUUCAUGGGUGGCUUUGACAGGUGUUGUUUUGAAUUGAUUGGAAUGAAAUAAUUUGUGUUUGAUCAAAAUCAGUGAUUGUGGCAUCUUCAUGUUAAAUAUGAAUGUGUGUUACAAUUCGGUUUCAUUCGACGAAUCAUAAAUCCUUGGGCCAGGACCCGUGUGGUUUCGUCAUAUAAAUCAUUAAUCAGAAUUAUAAUAAAAUGAUGUCAUAGAUCUGUUACAUGUGAUGUUUGUUAUGGUACAUGGUUAUGACCCAUUACCUAAUUUGAUUGAAUUAUGUGUAUGUGUUGUAAAUUCAUAAUACGACCUGCGUGUUGUGCCUUUUCACUUCAUACUUCAAGUUGUAAAAGGAUUUCUCUUCUCACCAAACUCCCUUCGAAUAUAACUCGAGGUUUCUCUUCUUUAUAAUGUACAAAUUAGAAUAGUGCUAGUAUAAUAUUGGGCGAUGAUUGAAAAGGAGGCUAACAAUACAUCACAACCAAGGAAGCACUUGUAGAAGAUGUAAUUCCCUAGGUUGACUUUUCGAUCCUCAUUGGCUUGAGAAGAUCGUAAUAGACGGGCCAUAACUAUGUCACAUUUAUUUGCUUGUUUUGCAUAUAUGUUAAUGUAUGUCAUGCUCUAAUGUGAUGCAUUUCUAAUUAGUAGUUUUACCAUAAUUAGGUCAAUUUAAUAUGUCUACUAAAGUUUGAUACUCAUUACUUUCUUGAUCAAUUAUAUACAUGUUUGCUAAAGCAAAGCAACUCAAUUUAACUUAGUAGAGUGCUACAGGACAAUCGUGAUGUCUAACUAUUGAACUUUGGGUGCGACUUAACUAAAUUACCUCAAUUGGAUUGAGAACUUAGAGGCAUAUGAUCAUUCAAUGAGCAAAAUAACAAAUAGUCAUGUUCACUUAACUAUCCAAGAGUUGUAUACGAUGCAAUUGAUAAACAUUACUUACCCAAAUAUAUCCAAGUCUUGGGCGAUUAGCCAAAGCUAACUUAAGAUGCGGUAUAAUAUAGAUCUUGUCCCACUUGAAUGUUAUUGUUAUUGGAGUUUGUAGCUAGUAGUGUGGGUAAACUAUGGUUGUCCACAUUCGUGACUUACUCCUACCAAGCUUUACAUUUUAGUAGAAGAAUCAUUUAAUUAAAGACCUAAUUAAGUGAUUUAAAUAUGAUACUUAUUUUUGCGUUUAUUAUUGUUGUAGAUAACCAUGUCAACACACACGUUUAAUACCAUCUCAUUAUGAUCUGUUCUUGAUAAGGAAAAGCUCGAUGGAGCUAAUUUCCUAGACUUAUACAUAAACUUAAGAAUUGUUCUCAAGUAAGAAAAAAAACUGUACGUCCUAGAAUAACCUAUUUCUAAAACACCUGCCUCUAAUGCUACUCGUACGGAUAAGGAUGCUCAUAAGAAACAUCAGGAUGAUGCGUUAGAUGUAUCAUGCCUUAUGUUUAGCAUCAUGAAUUCAGAGCUUCAAAAGCAAUAUAAGAACAUGGAUGCUUAUGAUAUGGUUGAACAUCUUAAAUAACUAUAUCAGGGGUAGGCAAGACAAGAGAGAUUUGAGGUAUCUAAGACUUUAUUUCAAUGCAAGAUGCAAGAAGGAAGUCUGGAACUCAUGUACUUAAAAUGAUAGGAUAUGUUGAGAAACCUUGAAAAUUUGAGAUUUCUAUUGGGCCAAGAGUUAACCACUAACCUUGUUCUACAAUUGUUGCCAAAAAGCUAUAGUUAAUUUAUCAUGAACUAUAACACGAACGAAAUUGAUAAGUCGUUGCCUGAGAUGUUAAGCAUGGUGAGAACUGCAGAACUCAAUCUCAAGAAGACUAAGCCUAAUACCAUAUUGAUGGUGCAAAAGGGCAAAAGCAAACGAAAACCCAAAGGUAAGGGUAAGUUCCAAGCUAAAGGUAAGGCCAAGUCUCAUGCACUGAAACCUAAAGGUGGGGUAGCUAAGGAAGGAACUUGCUUCCACUGUGGUGCGACCGGACAUUAGAAGAGGAACUGUAAGUUGUUACUGAAGGAAGUAAAAAAGAAAAGAAGUGAGCCUUAAGUAUAUAUAUUAUAGAAAUUAAUCUAUCUAUUUUUCUUUAUGGGUAUUAGAUAUCAACUGUGCAUCUCACAUUUGUACUAAUAUGCAGGAGCUAAGAAAGAAUAUAUAGUUGACAAAGGAUGAAGUGGACCUACGAGUAAGCAAUGACGCAAGAGUUGCUGCUAUAGCUGUAGAUACAAAACUGUUGCUGUGUCGAAGAAAAUGGUUGCAACUCUUGUUUCCCUGUGCCAAAUCAAGAAUUCAAGAUCAAAUCUGGACAAAUCAAAUGUGAGUUCUGUGACAGUGCCUGCAUCUCUCUUCUUCCAUACUGAACACCAUCCCAGCUGUAAAUAUGUAAUAUAUGCUACAGCAUUUUGAUUUAAACAAUAGUUUUCCUGAUUGAAAUGUUGUUACUUAAUCAACAACCUUAUUGGUAACUGGAUGUUCGUACAUUUCUGGAGAAGUAAAUGAUUCAUUUCCAAUGGGAAACUCUGGAAUA